ACCUGCCCUUAAGACCGGGAUAACUCAGGGAAACGUGGGCUAAUACGGGAUCGGCGAUUUCCUCGCGUGAGGGAAUCGGGAAGGGCGGAGCAAUCUGCCAUUUAGGGAUGGACGUAUGGCGCAUGAGCUAGUUGGUGGGGUAACGGCUCACCAGGGCGACGGUGUGUAGCCGACCUGAGAGGGUGAUCGGCCACACGGGGAGUGAGACACGGCCCAGACUCCUACGGGAGGCAGCAGUAGGGAAUUUUCCGCAAUGGACGCAUGUCUGAGGGAGAAACGCCGCGUGAGUGAUGAAGGUUUUCGUAUCGUAAAGCUCUGUUGCCAGGGAAGAACGCUAUGGAGAGUAACUGUUCCAUAGGUGACGGUACCUGAGAAGAAAGCCCGGGCAAAUUACGUGCCAGCAGCCGCGGUAAUAGGUAGGGGGCAAGCGUUUUCCGGAAUUAUUGGGCGUAAAGCGCGCGCGGGCGGUCAUGUAAUUCUGGUGUUUAAACCCGGGGCUCAACUCCGGGUCGCAUCGGAAACUGUGUGACUUGAGUGCAGAAGAGGAAAGUGGAAUUCCACGUGUAGCGGUGAAAUGCGUAGAGAUGUGGAGGAACACCAGUGGCGAAGGCGACUUUCUGGGCUGUAACUGA
rnacentral:rRNA from 1 species